UCGUCGGAGAUGUUGUGGGUGUUUUGAAUGCGAAUCCAAACGCAAGAGGAAGGGUCGAAAGCGAAGGCGGAGGUGAGGGAAUGGUUGCGAUGAUGAAGGGCGUAGACUAUGAACCAGGGCUUGAGACGAGGAGAGAUGAGGAGGGAGGUGG